ACGCUGGCAGCGUGCAUAACACAUGCAAGUCGAACGGAGAUUUCAGCAAUGGAAUGUUAGUGGCGAACGGGUGAGUAACGCGUAGACAACCUACCUUCUAGCUGGGGACAACACUGCGAAAGUGGUGCUAAUACCGAAUGUUGUAUUUUGAGUGCAUACUUAAGAUACUAAAGGUGGCCUCUAUUUAUAAGCUAUCACUAGAAGAUGGGUCUGCGUCUGAUUAGCUAGUUGGUGAGGUAACGGCUCACCAAGGCGACGAUCAGUAGCCGGUCUGAGAGGAUGAACGGCCACACUGGGACUGAGACACGGCCCAGACUCCUACGGGAGGCAGCAGUGGGGAAUCUUCCGCAAUGGACGAAAGUCUGACGGAGCAACGCCGCGUGAGUGAAGAAGGUUUUCGGAUCGUAAAACUCUGUUUUCAGGGACGAAUGUGUGGAUUGAAAUAAUGAUCCAUAAGACGGUACCUGACAAGAAAGCCACGGC
rnacentral:rRNA from 1 species